UUGCUGGCGGCGUUGGCCAGAUUUUGUUGCUGGCGAAUUUUGCAGAACGGAUGGUUUUUCAUUUUAAAUGAUGUUGCUGCCAGACAGGUCAGUACCUGGCCACCAGUGUGGCCGCGUGUUGGUUUUUGGUACGUCCGGUGUAUAUAUAGGGGUUGCUGCUGUCGGCAAAUAAUUUUCCGGUGCAAGCGCAUUUAUUGGACCCAAUGGGGCAGCUGCCAGGCGAUGCAUGAGGGGCUGUUGUAGAUGAGAGACUGCAGCUGGCUUUUAGAUAAGUUUAUUGUUUUUUAGAUCGAUUCUUUGUUGAUAUUUUUUUAUUUUCAGGUGUAGCCGCUGCUUGAGGACCAGGAGGACCAGAUGCUGCUGCUGCUGAUGACUGGAGACGAUUUGCAGGUAAGUUUGUGUGA